GACCCUUUCGUCUAGUGGCUCAGGACAUUACAUCUCUUUGUAAUAACGUAAGUUCAAAUCUUGCAAGGGUCGCCA
rnacentral:tRNA from 1 species